rnacentral:rRNA from 1 species
GCUUAAGACCAUACCACCCUGAACAUGCCCAAUCUCGUCUGAGCUCAGAAGCUAAUCAGGGUCAGACCUGGUUAAUACUUGGAUGGGAGACUCAUAAAGAGAAUGAUUCAUAACAA